GUGAAGAAGAUUGGCCACACAAAUAAUGUAUGUAUGAAAAUGUUAAUCGGGUUGCUGUGGUAAGCUCCAUAGAAGGCAAAGUGGGUCUCCAAAUCAAAUAUUCCUGCCUUCUUAGCCAUGGAGAUAUUCUCGAGAAAAUUGCUGGGUUUUCAGGGAAGUUGCGAGAGAAAUUGGGAAGAUCGUGAAAUGAAAUGAAAAGAAAAGGAGUUGUUGAAGAAAUUAAUAACCAGUUUCGCAGCCUUGGUUUUGUUAGACUUUCU
rnacentral:misc_RNA from 1 species